AGAAAUACACAAGGGAAGGGAAGAGAUUUGAUCAAGGUCCAGAGCUUAGAGCUGGCAUGACAGAGUCUGGGAUUAUCCUCCCUUCCUGUGGGCAGGAUUUCCAAGCCCUAUUAAAGUGCUCUUGCUGAAAACCCAGCCAUCCACUGACUCUUCUGGAUCCCACUCAGUUCUGGAGCAUCUGAGUCACUGAGAUCAACGAAAGAUAUACAGUCCAAAUAAUAAAAGGAUCAAAAUGUGUUAUCAGGACUCUUUCAAUUGCCCCAGGCCUUAUCAACCCUAUGUCCCUCAGGGUUGUCUUAUCUAUCCAGACCCUUGUGCCCCUUUGAUCUACCCACAACAACCAUAUGUCCCUCAGGGCCCUAUUGCCAUCUGGCCAGACCCAUAUAAUCCUUGUGCCCCUAUGACCUUCCCACAACAACCCUAUGUCUCUCAAGGCUGUAUUACCAUCUGCCCAUGCCCAAGUAAUCCUUGGGCCUCUAGUAUCUACCCACAACAACCCUAUGUCCCCAACUACCCAGGAUCAUGUAAUUCUUAUGGCUAUAUGACAUAUUGACAAUCACAGGGCAGGGGAAUUGAAAUUCUUAUGGUCCACUUUACUAGCACAGAACCCUCCCAAGAAUUAAGAGCACCAGAUGCUGGUGUAACCACAAACCUGGAAGCUCAAGAGACCUGUGCUCUUCCUACCCUCUCUGAACCUUCAUGUUCCUCUGCACUUGAAGUGCCCUAGAUGGAAUCAUGGUGAGAAGAACCUUUGUUCCUGAAGCUAUAGUCAUUUCAGAAAGAAGAUUCUAUCUUACUUCCAACUUCCACCUCCAAUGAUGAGAGGCAGCAGAGAAAGAGUCAACCUUAAUUCAAUAUCUGGUUCCUACAGAGUUUGAGAAAAGGCAUCUUUGAACAACCAGAUCCCCUGCUAUUCCAUCCUCUCUCCUUUGUACCGUGUGCUCUCUUCUUCCACCCAAAUAAAACAUAUGUUUCAUUGUGA